rnacentral:rRNA from 1 species
AUUGAACGCUGGCGGCAGGCCUAACACAUGCAAGUCGAGCGGUAACGCGGGGCAACCUGGCGACGAGCGGCGGACGGGUGAGUAACGCGUAGGAAUCAACCCAGUAGCGGGGGAUAGCCCGGGGAAACUCGGAUUAAUACCGCAUACGCCCUAAGGGGGAAAGCAGGGGAUCGUAAGACCUUGCACUAUUGGAUGAGCCUGCGUUGGAUUAGCUAGUUGGUAGGGUAAAGGCCUACCAAGGCGACGAUCCAUAACUGGUCUGAGAGGAUGAUCAGUCACACCGGAACUGAGACACGGUCCGGACUCCUACGGGAGGCAGCAGUGGGGGAAUAUUGGACAAUGGGGGCAACCCUGAUCCAGCCAUGCCGCGUGUGUGAAGAAGGCCUCGG